UACGGAGGAUGCAAGCGUUAUCCGGAAUGAUUGGGCGUAAAGGGUCCGCAGGUGGCAGUGUAAGUCUGCUGUCAAAGAAUGAGGCUUAACCUUAUCAAGGCAGUGGAAACUACACAGCUAGAGUACGGUCGGGGUAGAAGGAAUUCCUGGUGUAGCGGUGAAAUGCGUAGAUAUCUGGAGGAACACCGGUGGCGAAGGCGGCAUCCUGGACCGACACUGACACUGAGGAGCGAAAGCCAGGGGAGCAAACGGG
rnacentral:rRNA from 1 species